GUGGGUUACUCCGCACGAGCGCACCUCACUUUUAGUUGCCAUCAUUAGUUGGGCACUCUGUAAAGAACUGCCAGUGAUAAGCUGGAGGAAGGUGGGGAUGACGUCAAGUCCUCAUGGCCCUUACGUGUCGGGCUACACACGUGCUACAAUGGUAUCUACAACAGGAGGCAAAACGGCGACGUUAAGCAAAUCCUUAAAAGAUACCUCAGUUCGGAUUGCACUCUGCAACUCGAGUGCAUGAAGCUGGAAUUACUAGUAAUCGUGGAUCAGCGUGCCACGGUGAAUGCGUUCCCGGGUCUUGUACACACCGCCCGUCACACCAUGGGAGUUGGUUCUACCUUAAGGCAAGGUUUCAAACCCUUGACCACGGUAUAGUCAGCGACUGGGGUGAAGUCGUAACAAGGUAGCCGUAGGGGAACCUGCGGCUGGAUUACCUCCUUUCU
rnacentral:rRNA from 1 species